rnacentral:lncRNA from 1 species
CUCACUCAGAAACCUUUAGGUAAUGAGUAGAGUAUUUUAAUAUCUCCGAAGCUUUUAAGCAAGGAGAUAGUGUUUGUGAGCCUCUCACGUAUUGAUUUAAUACUUGAGUAGGACUGUGUUUUAUUGAGUUGUAAUGUUUUAAGGUUACUCCUAAGCUUUGAAGUACGGAGUUAACUGUGUGUGAUUUACUUGAAGCUUUUAAGCAAGAGUAAAAUAUGUCACGGUGAUUGUCGCCACAUUUUAUUCAACAUUAUAUGAACAACACAGGUUGUGUUGGCUGUGUN